rnacentral:rRNA from 1 species
CCUACGGGAGGCAGCAGUGGGGAAUAUUGCACAAUGGGGGGAACCCUGAUGCAGCGACGCCGCGUGAGUGAAGAAGUACCUCGGUAUGGAAAGCUCUAUCAGCAGGGAAGUAAAUGACGGUACCUGACUAAGAAGCACAGGCUAACUACGUGCCAGCAGCCGCGGUUAUACGUAGGGGGCAAGCGUUAGCCGGAUGUACUGGGUGUAAAAGGAGCGUAGAGGGUUAUGAAAGUCGGAAGUGAAAGCCGAAGGCUCAACCAUGGACCUGCUUGGGAAACUGGAAAACUGGAGUGCAGGAGAGGUAGACGGAAUGCCUGGUGUAGCGGUGAAAUGCGUAGAUAUUACGAGGAACGCCAGUGGCGAAGGCAGCUUACUGGACUGCAACUGACGUUGAGGCUCGAAGGCGUGGGGAGCAAACAGGAGUAGAUACCCUUGUAGUC